GAAAUUCAUGAUUCUUAUGUUCAAAAAAAAAGAAUAUUCUAUAAAAAACGAAAAUUAUUAAUUAUUGUUAGUAUUGACAAUAAUCUUGUGUGAGAUGUUGGUAUUAAAUCUAUAAACAUUAAAUCUAUGAAGAAAAUUUUAUCAUGUAAUUAUUUUUACAAAUAUUUCUUUAAUUUUUUCACAUUAUUAUUUUUCACAAUUUGAAUCUUAAUUACAAAAUCUAAAAUCUAUUUAAAACAAUGACGAAUGUCUAUUCCAUAAAACAGUCAAUCAAAUAAACAAGAAAAUAGUUAAGCAUGCUACUGAAGCUCAGUGCAUUUGCACCUGCAGGUCUUCCCUGAAGAAUUAGUCACUAGAAGUGGAAUAAUCGUUAAGUAACACGAAAGGACGUUUUGUGCGAUCUUCUAAUGUAAACAAAGUAACCACGCUAACUAUUAUGUUUUGCAUUUUAGUAUGUUCGUCAGAUUCGCUAUGUUAAUUUUUGACUUAUACGAUGUAUUAACAAUCAAAAAAAUUUUAAAAAAUAUAUUUAAAAAAAUUAGCCAAUUUUGGUAAUUAUGACUUUAAAAAAUCAUUCAAUUUUUUGUUAUAAUUAAUUUCUUCGAUUAGAUUGAGUGAAACCUUUCUUGAUCAAAUUCCACUGCUGUAUAUUUGUGCUUGUAUUUGGAAACUGUUGGGAAUAGGAUAUUCAGAUGGUAACUCUGUCCAUGUUACAAAACAGAGACCUACAGAGAACUUCUCUUACUUCAACAUCUCACGAUGUCGACGACAUUCAUCCGACUAGCGUAUAACGUAUAGUGACCAUACGGCAUACGUACAGAUGCUUCAUCAUAAUAGUUUCUAUUUUCGGUUGGAGGGUUGGCUACACAUAGGUGCAGAUGUUCUGUUCUGCUAAAAGCAUUUGGGGGAGAAGGUCGAACUUGGUGCCACGUAUUUUCAAAAGAUUAAUAGGCAAAUAGAAGAAUUGAAUCUAGUUUUCAAUAAAAAACAUGUCUAAAAAUUAUAAAGUAAAGUCAGUCGUUUAUAAAAAUAAUGAAGCAUAAAUUAUGAAUUGGAAUUGGGAAAAAAAAAAUAUUUGUUUUUAUAUAUUUUAUUUUUUUAUAUAUAUUUAAUAUAUGUACUAUUAAAGUUUCUCGCUAGUAGUAUUGUAGAAUGAAGAUACAAAUUGAAGUCGUGAUGAAAAUACAAAAGAUACUAUGAAGACAUUGAACGAAUAAAUGAAAUACAGUAGUAAGCAUAGAAAAAAAAAUGAAUGAAAUGUAGCGACGUUGGCUAAGGACGGCCUUCAAAGUGUACUCGAAUACUCUGUUUGCUAACGCAAUAAAAGACUCGACUAUAGACA